GCAGCGCGGGAUUUGCGAUUUGGUUUCAUAGACUGGAAGUCCCAGUGGGCAGCGCCCUUCUUUAACUUCCAGUUCUCUUUCCUCCAGAAGAAGCAUUAUCUUUCCCUUCCCUACCGCUGUUAUAUACCAUGCAUGAGCCCGGGUGACCAGUGAAUAAGCUCAGGAGCUGUCCAUUUGAGGAAAACUAUGAUAAGCAGUGGGUAUAGAAGACCCCUGAAGAGCUGUAAUGAGGGAAGUAGAACACAGACAACCAUGGUCUAUCCAGACAAAAGGAGUAUCCGAUGCCAGAUUCUAACUUUCCUGAUGGUAUUUACCAUCUGUUAUUAAGAAGAUCAUGCUGAUGUACAAGAUGUAAUCUACAGAAGAGAUGAUUAUUUUUAAAAGCUUUUGGGAAGAUAUUUAUGUACAUAUAUUGGACAAAUACUUAUCUGUUCUCUCCUCCAGUUUUAAGUUUGUGCAUCAUGAUGCAUUGUACAGCUCCAAGUUCCUUUUUACUUUUGUUAAAAUGCUUGUCACACUUUUCCUUUGUUUUAAAGAUGUUAAGUCUGUCAAAGUGAAAUGUUCCAUAUUACACUUCUGUUUCCUUAGGAUAAAAAUGAAAUAUAAGCUAUUUCUAAAUGAAGAAAAUUGCUUCACUGCAUUCUCUCUCUCAUUCUCUUUCUCUCUCUCUCUCUCUCUUCCUGAGAAUGAUUACACAAAUGUUUGCUUUCAUGAAAUACCCCUACUCAAUUUUGGGGCUUAUGCACAUAUUUUUUAAUCUUAAUUUUCUUAUUGGUAUACUUAUUUAGCAGUUCAAUUUCACCUUUUGAAUUUUCAUGAAAAGUAACAGCUUCACUGAUAUAUUUGAUCACAUCUUAAUCCUUACUAUCACAUAAACAAUUUCACUUAAUUUCAACAUACAUAUCAACCUAUCCCUUAAAACAAAAUAGUUUAUGAUAUAUCGGUAUAGACUUUAAAAGGAUAUAUGAAAAUAAAAUGA